AGCAGCCGCGGUAAUUCCAGCUCCAAUAGCGUAUAUUAAAGUUGCUGCAGUUAAAAAGCUCGUAGUUGAAUUUCGGGACCAUCAUGUUGGUCGUGCCUCGGUACGUACUGGCAUUGUUGGUUUCUCCCUUCUGACGAACCAUGAUGUCAUUUAUUUGGUGUCGUGGGAAAUCAGGACUGUUACUUUGAAAAAUUAGAGUGUUUAAAGCAGGCUCACGCUUGAAUACAUUAGCAUGGAAUAAUGAAAUAGGACGUUUGAUUCUAUUUUGUUGGUUUCUAGGAUCGACGUAAUGAUUAAUAGGGAUAGUUGGGGGCAUUAGUAUUCAAUUGUCAGAGGUGAAAUUCUUGGAUUUAUUGAAGACUAACUACUGCGAAAGCAUUUGCCAAGGAUGUUUUCAUUAAUCAAGAACGAAAGUUAGGGGAUCGAAGACGAUCAGAUACCGUCGUAGUC
rnacentral:rRNA from 1 species